rnacentral:rRNA from 1 species
UACAGAGGGUGCAAGCGUUAAUCGGAAUUACUGGGCGUAAAGCGUGCGUAGUCGGUUAUUUAAGUCGGAUGUGAAAUCCCCGGGCUCAACCUGGGAAUUGCAUUCGAUACUGGAUAGCUAGAGUUCGGCAGAGGGAAGCGGAAUUUCGGGUGUAGCGGUGAAAUGCGUAGAUAUCCGAAGGAACAUCAGUGGCGAAAGCGGCUUCCUGGACCAGAACUGACGAUCAGGCACGAAAGCGUGGGGAGCAAACGGG